rnacentral:rRNA from 1 species
UACGGAGGGAGCUAGCGUUAUUCGGAUUUACUGGGCGUAAAGGGCGCGUAGGCGGCAAUUCAAGUCAUCUGUGAAAUCUCCGGGCUUAACUCGGAACGGUCAGAUGAUACUGCUUUGCUAGAGUGCGGAAGGGGCAAUCGGAAUUCUUGGUGUAGCGGUGAAAUGCGUAGAUAUCAAGAGGAACACCUGAGGUGAAGACGGGUUGCUGGGCCGACACUGACGCUGAGGCGCGAAAGCCAGGGGAGCAAACGGG